rnacentral:sRNA from 1 species
CUUGGUCAUUUAGAGGAAGUAAAAGUCGUAACAAGGUUUCCGUAGGUGAACCUGCGGAAGGAUCACUAGUGAUUAAAUCGAGAGCGUCUUCAUUGACCUCUCACCCUUCACAUCCACAUACACCUGUGCACCGUUUGGCUCUUAUAAAAGACGCAAGUCUGCAAUGAGAGUCAUCAAUUUUAUACAUACCCCAGUCUUAUGAAUGUAACAGUUUUAAUAAACAUAAUAAAACUUUUAACAACGGAUCUCUUGGUUCUCGCAUCGAUGAAGAACGCAGCGAAAUGCGAUAAGUAAUGUGAAUUGCAGAAUUCAGUGAAUCAUCGAAUCUUUGAACGCACCUUGCGCUCCUUGGUAUUCCGAGGAGCAUGCCUGUUUGAGUGUCAUGAAACUCUCAACCAUCAACUUUUUUAUUAAGGCUGAUGGCUUGGACUUGAGCGCUGCUGGUUUUUACUAACCGGCUCGCUUGAAAUGAAUUAGCAGAUCCUUUUUGUAAUCGGUUCCACUCGACGUGAUAAGUAUUUCGCCGAGGACAUACGAAAGUAUGGCCGAGAUAAAGAAAGUCUUUAGAUCCGCUUCUAAUUCUUAGAUAGAGCUUGCUCUACUAAACCCCAUUUUAUGAUCUGGCCUCAAAUCAGGUAGGACUACCCGCUGAACUUAAGCAUAUCAAUAAGCGGAGGAAAAGAAACUAACAAGGAUUCCCCUAGUAACGGCGAGUGAAGCGGGAUGAGCUCAAAUUUAAAAUCUGGCGGCCUCAGUCGUCCGAGUUGUAGUCUAGAGAAUCGUUUUCCGCGUUGGCCUGUGUACAAGUCCCUUGGAAACAGGCGUCAUAGAGGGUGAGAAUCCCGUCCUUGACACAGACUACCAAUGCUUUGUGAUGCGAUCUCGAAGAGUCGAGUUGUUUGGGAAU